rnacentral:rRNA from 1 species
GAUGAAUGCUGGCGGCGCGCCUAACACAUGCAAGUCGAGCGGUAACAGGUCUAGUUUACUAGAUGCUGACGAGCGGCGGACGGCUGAGUAACGCGUGGGAACAUGCCCCAAAGUGAGGAAUAACUGCCCGAAAGGGUAGCUAAUGCCGCAUAUGAUCUUCGGAUUAAAGGAUUUAUCCGCUUUGGGAGUGGCCCGCGUACGAUUAGGUAGUUGGUGAGGUAAUGGCUCACCAAGCCCACGAUCGUUAACUGGUCUGAGAGGAUGAUCAGUCAGACUGGAACUGAGACACGGUCCAGACUCCUACGGGAGGCAGCAGUGAGGAAUCUUCCACAAUGGGCGAAAGCCUGAUGGAGCGACGCCGCGUGCAGGAUGAAGGCCCUCGGGUUGUAAACUGCUUUUAUAAGUGAAGAAUAUGACGGUAACUUAUGAAUAAGCACCGGCUAACUACGUG